AAGUUUAAAAAAUCUAAUUUGUUAGAAAUUUUUUGAUUGAUUGAUUUAUUUAUUUUUUAUUGCAAGCUUUAAUAGCGUGGGACCAAUGCAUGUCGUAUUUGGGAAUACAUACAGGAGGCGAAUUUCUGAACAACAAUUGCGGUCCUUCGGAUGUUCCUUUAGAGUAUCAAGAAAGCUUCUCAAAAUGCAUCGAGUUAAAAAUAAGAAGCGAAAAUGUGAAGCAGAAAAGCGAAGAAGAAGAAAGAGAUCUGUUUCGCCAAUGCAUACAAUCUGUAGAACUCCUCGAUCAAUGAAUUUUUUAUUUUCGUUUUUGUGAUAAUUUGUAAAAUUUGUAAUUUUUUCCCCCUCCUGUUUGAAAUUUAAGAAUUAAAAUAAAAGUUAUUCUUAAUUCUACUUUUCUUCUGUUUUUUUUUUUUUUUUUUUU
rnacentral:lncRNA from 1 species